CUGCCCCUGUCAGGGGGACAACCCGCCGAAAGGCGGGCUAAACCCGCGUACAUGCCACCGGGGCAUCCCGGAGGCAGGAAAGGCUUCGGCCGGACAGGGAUGGGCAUGCGGCGCAUUAGGCAGUAGGCGGGGUAACGGCCCACCUAACCGACGAUGCGUAGGGGUUCUGAGAGGAAGGUCCCCCACACUGGUACUGAGACACGGACCAGACUCCUACGGGAGGCAGCAGUGAGGUAUAUUGGUCAAUGGUCGGGAGACUGAACCAGCCAAGCCGCGUGAGGGAUGAAGGUACAGAGUAUCGUAAACCUCUUUUGUCAGGGAACAAAGGCGGGGACGUGUCCCCGGAUGAGUGUACCUGAAGAAAAAGCAUCGGCUAACUCCGUGCCAGCAGCCGCGGUAAUACGGAGGAUGCGAGCGUUAUCCGGAUUUAUUGGGUUUAAAGGGUGCGCAGGCGGUCUGUUAAGUCAGCGGUCAAAGCCCGGGGCUCAACCCCGGCCCGCCGUUGAAACUGGCAGUCUCGAGUUGGAGAGAAGUAUGCGGAAUGCGCGGUGUAGCGGUGAAAUGCAUAGAUAUCGCGCAGAACUCCGAUUGCGAAGGCAGCAUGCCGGCUCCACACUGACGCUGAGGCACGAAAGCGUGGGUAUCGAACAGGAUUAGAUACCCUGGUAGUCCACGCAGUAAAC
rnacentral:rRNA from 1 species